rnacentral:rRNA from 1 species
AACGAACGCUGGCGGCAGGCUUAACACAUGCAAGUCGAACGGGCGUAGCGAUACGUCAGUGGCAGACGGGUGAAUAACACGUGGGAACCUUCCUCGUAGUACGGAACAACUCAGGGAAACUUGAGCUAAUACCGCAUACGCCCCGGAGCAAUACCGGGGAAGGUUAUCGCUAUGAGACGGGCCCGCGUCCGAUUAGCUCGUUGGUGGGGUAACGGCCUACCAAGGCAACGAUCGGUAGCNGAUCUGAGAGGAUGAUCAGCCA